rnacentral:miRNA from 1 species
AUGUGAUCUCUUGCUUUGGCAUUAAAGGAAGCUAGUUUAAUUACGAAAACUAGUUUCCUCUAACGUUUCAAACAAUACAUCAUGUGU